GUGAGGUACUUCUCACUUCCCUUCCUGAUUCUGGAAAAUCGGUAUCUCCAGCUAGAGACCAGGUUGUAACUAGCAGAAUGGAUAAGAGAAAACUAGUUGCAUUUGAAUUUAAAAGGCUUCAAUAAGCACAAAGGUAAAUUAAAGAUAGAACAGCAGCGAGUGGUGUCACAGCAGCAACCUUGCACUCAAUGUCAGUAAGUUGAAAGAGCUGAUUGUGGACUUCAGGAAGGGUAAGAUGAAGGAACACAUCCCAAUCCUCAUAGAGAGAUCAGAAAUGGCAAGAGUGAGCAGUUUCAAGUUCCUGGGUGUCAAGAUCUCUGAGGACCUAAUCCGGUUCCAACAUAUUGAUGCAGCUAUAAAGAAGGCAAGAGAGCGUCUAUACUUCAUUCGGCGUUUGGUCAACAAAAACACUCAAAAAUUUCUAUAGAUGCACCGUGAAGAGCAUUCUAACAGGCUGCAUCACUGUCUGGUAUGGGUGGGGGGGGGGGGGCUAUUGCACAGGACUGAAAGGAGCUUCAAAGGGUCAUAAAUUUAGUGGGCCCCAUUUUGGGUACUAGCCUACAAAGAACCAGGACCUCUUCAGGAGCGGUGACUCAGAAAGGCAACAUCCAUCAUUAAGCACCCCCCCAGCAUCCAGGACAUGCCAUUUUCUCAUUAUUACCAUCACCUGAAGGCACAUACUCAGCGGUUCAUGAAACCUGUGAACCCCACCUCACUUUUCUAAUAUAUAUUAUUUCUGUUUUUGCACGAUUUUUAAUCUAUUCUAUAUAUAUAUUUUUAGUAAUUCAUUUACUUACUUUUAUGUUUUUCUAUAUUAUGUAUUGCAUUGAACUGCUGUAAGUUAACAGAUUUCACAACACAUGCCACUAUAAUAAACCUGAU